rnacentral:lncRNA from 1 species
GGGUUUGGUUCGCAGAGACAAAGCCAUGGCUUCAGUUUGUUUCCAACCAGCUGGUUGGGGGGCAGCCAUGGGUUGAUGGAGAUUUUAGCAGAUUUGAUUUUCUUAAUGGGUGAGACUUCACUGAAAUUAUUUAAUUGUUCUUCUUCUACCCUUUUCUACUUAUCUUUUUCUGUUUUAAAAAUCACAGCUACUAUAAGUGUUUCGAUCGUCUAAUUUUCUCUUUAUUCUUUUUUCUUCAGGGAACAAAUAUUUGAGGUUUUAAUUUUCCUUUGGUUAAGCAUUUUCACUUAAACAACGCGCACGAAGCACCCAGCAACAAACACCUCAUAUCAAUAUAACAAAGAUUGUGGUGAAGAUUCGAAUAUGUUGGGGCUUCCAUCUUUUCUACACCCUUCGACUCAGGCUUCCAUCUUUCUUCCUUGCGAAUAUUUGCAUCGUUUGUCUUCAGGUAUGCAUCUCAUCAACUUUUUAACAGAUCUUUGGGUCUUUAUUUCAUGAAUUUGAUUGUUGGUUUGUAGAGUUGUGUUGAUUUUUUUGGUUAUUUUGAUUUCAGAUUCUUGGUAAUCUCUAAUGGUUUAUUUAGUUAUUUUUUAGGAAUUUGGGUUCAUUUAUUUGAUUCCUUUGAUUUUAGGUUUUUGGAUAAAGCAUUGGAAAGCAAAGACUGAGCAUGUUUUUUUAUUUUUUUAUUUAUUUUUUUAUAUUGAAUUGAUGGCAGCUUUCCAAAUUGAUAGAUUUCAGGUUUGCCAAAUUCUGUAACGAAGCAAUAAAGGAUCAAAAGCUACAGAAUUUUUGUCCUUUUACAGAGGAAAAACUAUUUUGACAAUAUAUAUAAUGGAUAGGAAUAAUAAAGAAACAGUUAUAAGGCAUCAAUAUUUUUGUCCUUGGUAUUGACCAUCAAAUUAGUCUUUGUACCCUAAUAAUGGUUGAUCUAAGGCAUAGGUCUGCAAAAUGGAAAACUCUUUCUAACCAUUCAUGUGAUACUGCAUUAGACAAUUGUCUGAGUACUCAGGCCUCUGCAUUAGACAUUGUAUUUUAGGAAAAUUUGACAACUUUGAGGCAGACUGCAUGUUUUGACCCAGUACCUCAACUCUUUUUUUGGUACUGAACUCUAGCCUUUUGAAGGAUUUUGGAUGGUGGGGUAAUGCUGAUUUAGAAAACUUAGCCCAUUGUGAACUAUGAAAGCAAUAGAAGAGCUCUUAGCCUAUUGUUCACGUUUUCCCCAACUCAUGCCACGGCUUGGCACCAGAAUCUAUCCAGGGACCUAACAGAGAGUAUAAUCGUUACAUUGUAACAUGGCAUUCCCAUGUCCUUUAUGCUUUCAUGCCCAAUGUAUGAAAUUAUAUUCAACCAAAAGCACCAAACAGAACAAAAGCUGUACCAACCUACAAAAAACACAGAUACAAAUGAAAUAAAAAAUUGCACAGGAAGUUGCCGCUUAAGCGUUAAACAUGCUCUGUUGUAUUUUUCUUUGAAAUUGAAUCUUCAUGUGAGUAGUUGAUUCUGAUUAUGCUCAGACUUGAAAAUUUUGGUGAAUUAUCUAGCGCUUCUCCAUAGCCAGAUAUAGUAUACAUAAGCUGAUCAAGCUAUCAAACUACAGUAGAGAUUUUUCUUUCUUUUAGUUUGUUGUCAAGGAAUUUUUUGUCAAGAGACUUUUUUUUUUUUUUUUGGUCAAAAUAGAAAUUGGCAAUUAUUUUAUCUUAGAUGGAAGAAUCAAAUAGAACUGACUUGCUUCUAUCAGUACGUAUGCACAUUCAUCUUUCUAACUAUGUACUCCACAACUAUGAUUGUCUUGCCUUCGCCAAUCGGUAUUCGGUACUAAUGAGUUUUUGUGCGGAUAUGUUCUUUAAUUUCUGCAGAAUUCAGAAAUUUCAAGGAUUAAUAUAUAGAAGCUGAUACAAUGAGGCCAACCAUUUUCUUGCAUUUUUUGGUGGGAAUAUUCGUUAGCUUGAGUGCUUUCUGCAUCAUUAAUGCAGAAGACCCAUAUUUGUAUUAUACAUGGAUAGUUACAUAUGGACUUGAGUUGUAGUUUCAUUUAAGUUGCCAAAACAAUAUAAAGUAGGUAUAAAUUAGGUAUAAAUUAGGUCAAAAUGCUUCUGUAGAGGACUGUUCUGUAUGUAUGGAAUUUUCAUCUUUGUGGAAAUAUGAAUGGUAUGUUAGAAAGUGAAUUCAUAUAGACUGUAUAGUUGGAAUUUUGAGUCCUUAGGUUUAUUUUUGUGCAAAGUCUUCUGUUAGAAGAUUGAUUGAAGAGCUAUUUCUUCCCUUUUUCAGUCUCUCUUCUAUCACUUGAAAGGCUAAAGCACCUGCAAAGGCAUAAAUUAUAGCUCAUGAGAGCAAUACUUUUUUUGUAUGAAUAUUUUUAAAGGAUGAGACAUAGGAGGAUCUUUGAAAAUGAUGGUCUAGAAUGGAUAUUUUGCAGACCAAAGUUUGAGAGGUCUGUUAUUGGGAAUGCAUAAUUGUAUCCGAAAGCUUCCCAUGAUGAACUUAAGAUCUUUGAAAAUUAUGCAUAAUUGCAUAAUUGGUUGUUGGUUAGGAGAUUUUUCGUCCUUUGUAGAGUUGGGUUCAUUUAUUUGGUUAUUUUGAUUUUAGGUUCUUGGGUAAUCUAUAAUGCUUUAUUUAGUUAUUUUUUACGAAUUUGGGUUCAUUUAUUUUGUUACUUUGAUUUCAGGUUUUUGGAUAAAACAUUGGAAAGCAAAGAUUAAACAUGCUUUUUUUUUUAUUGAAAUUUUUUUCUGUUUUUUAUCUGCUGUUGGCUGUUGCAUUCUAAAAUUUUUUUGUUUUUUAUAUGCUAUUGGCUGUUGCAUUCUGCUGUUUCUGUUUUUUAUCUGCUGUUAGAAUUGCUGUUUGCUGUUGCAUUUUAAACAAGCAAAAAAGAAGUGGACAUUAAUCAGGUUUUGCUAAAAUAGAAACUAAGAAUGAUUAACUAGCAACCAUGCUGAUAAAGUGCUAUCUAUGUUGUAGAGUUCUUGCCUGAAUGUGUAUGGUUUGUCCUUUAAAAUUAUAAUUGACCAUAAUAUUCUAGAUAUUAGAAUUGCUGCAGACUUAUGUAGAUCACAGUCUGUCCAACAAUUCAAUCCUGAGUGAGAGAGUGGUUUUGUGAUUUUGAUUGUUUAGGGUGGCUUGGUGGGCUUGGUUGAUUAUGAGUUUUGAAUCAAAUGUACUCAUUUUGUAUAUCUGUUUAACUAGGCUUGAUAUUAAUAUACGCAUAUUGUUUGAGCCAUGUUCUAUCUUUAGCGUAUUUUUUAUUUAUUUUUUACAAAUUUGGAUUCAUUUAUUUGGUUACUUUGAUUUCAAGUUUUGGGGUAAUCCCUAAUGUUUUAUUUAUUUAUUUUUUACGAAUUUGGGUUCAUUCCUUUGGUUACUUUGAUUUCAGGUUCUUGAGUAAUCCCUAUUGCUAUAUAAGAGGAGUUGAGGUAUUUAAAUUUCACAACAUAUUGGGUUCUAUCAGGAAGGGAAUUGAAUCUCACAGAUUAGCUCAGGUAUUUCCAUCAUUGUUAUUAUUAAUUUUUUAAAUCAAUUGUCAAUUCAAUGACU